GAUGAACGCUGGCGGCGUGCCUAAUACAUGCAAGUCGAGCGAACAGACGAGGAGCUUGCUCCUCUGACGUUAGCGGCGGACGGGUGAGUAACACGUGGAUAACCUACCUAUAAGACUGGGAUAACUUCGGGAAACCGGAGCUAAUACCGGAUAAUAUAUUGAACCGCAUGGUUCAAUAGUGAAAGACGGUUUUGCUGUCACUUAUAGAUGGAUCCGCGCCGCAUUAGCUAGUUGGGAAGGUAACGGCUUACCAAGGCAACGAUGCGUAGCCGACCGGAGAGGGUGAUCGGCCACACUGGAACUGAGACGCGGUCCAGACUCCUACGGGAGGCAGCAGUAGGGAAUCUUCCGCAAUGGGCGAGAGCCUGACGGAGCGACGCCGCGUGAGUGAUGGAGGUCUUCGGAUCGUAAAACUCUGUUAUUAGGGAAGAACAGAUGUGUAAGUAACUAUGCACGUCUUGACGGUACCUAAUCAGAAAGCCACGGCUAACUACGUG
rnacentral:rRNA from 1 species